UCCAAUCUGUCAAGUGGGGAGGUGCGUUUCUUCCUUACCGGGUGGCGUGGAGAGGCGACAGGUUGUCCCUCUGACCACAGGGAGCGGGAGCGGAAUGCGGGCUUUCUCCCUGGGCAGAUGGUUCCCUGAGCCUCAGCUUCCCAGUCUCUAGGUGGGGUCAGCAGUGGGUGUCUCACGGGGUGCUGCAGGGUUAGGUGGGAUGCUGCCCCCGAGCGCCUAGCAUCGAGUCAGUGCUCCGUCAGUGGCAUUUACUGUGAUGGCUCCGGGAGGGAUCCCCAUCCUGUGGCACCCUGCAGGGACCCGGCGGGCGGCGGGCUGGGCCCCCAGGUCUGGGAGGUGUGGCCAGAGCUGGCGACGGCUGGGCCUGUCCGCUCCAUGCAGGGCACUUCUCGCAGCUCCCCGGAGGCGGGCGCAGGUGCCACAUCGAUGAGCCAUGCCCCUCUGAUGCGCCUGACAUUUCCUGCCUGCCUUUCCCGGCCUGACUGGGUCAGCGGCCACACUGAGUCACAGCCGCGGCCCCUGGCUGCCUGCCGCCCCAGGGCGCAGGGUGGAGGGAGCCGGCUCUGCAGGGUCCCCCUCCCGACAUGGGGAGGGGCUGGCUCCUUCUCUCUAUUCCUGUUUUCAAACUUUACAAGUCAUUUCUUGUUUAACAUGCUGAUUGUUGUUAUCCUAACGUCACGAGAACCCUUGGGAUGCUUUGACCGGACUGACCGGCUGCACACGUCACUGCGUGUUUACUGCGACACAGGUGAAGGGCUCCUCUGGAGAGACUGGGAGUCCAGAAUAAUUUCAUCCCGGAGAACAUCUGCCUCCUUUUUCUCUCUAAACAUGAUUUGAGCCUCCGUUUUCUCCUCUGUAACGUGAAGAUUAUCCCCUCGCACAGUGCUGGAUGCAGGGAGAAGCUGAUGAAAUAGCACACGUGGGAUUAUGGUCAGCAACCACAGCCUCAGAGCGGGUGCUCGGCUAACAGGGCUGGUAUCAGGUAGGUGCUCAGCUAACGCCUGCAGCUGGUUUGCUGAAUGGGCGCGACCUGAAGUCAGGAAGCCUGCCCCUGCCUGCCGGCCGCCGCCCGGGAUUUCUCCAGGUGGCCGGGGUGGAAAGGCCCGAGCGUGGCAGUCCUGGGCCGGAGGCGCUCUCAGAGCCCAGCGGGACACGGGCUCCCAAACCGCUUCCGCCACAGAAUCCCCUGUUCAGAUGAACAAAGCCCAGUAGAAGCCCAGUACGCAAACAGGUAAAAAGGGGCUGGUCGGUGGCAGCACGAGGUGAAGGGCUCAGAGACCCACCUCGAUCACCUAGUUGGCGUUCAGGCCGGGGGGGGCAGCCCUGGCCCCCAUCCUGUCCCCACGGAGCUGCUGUGAACCCAGCAUUCCAGUGCGGAACCAGACUCAGAAGAGGAGCUGUCACACAGGAGGAAGCUAAUUGCUCAGGAAACACAAGGAGCCUUUCGCUUUCUCUGGGCCUCAGUUUCCUCCUCUGUAAUAGGAGGGACAGGUAGAUGGAUCACCCCCAGUUUGGAGGGCUUUUGGCUGGAGCUCCAGUAACACAUGGUGCAAGCGCCACCUAGUGGCGAGAAGGGGCUAUGGCAGCCAGGGCUGUUAGCAGGGGACGCCCCCUCCCAUCCCCCUUCCCGCUAGGGCGAUGCCUUGGGAUGCAGGCGUUAAGAGGUGACCACUAUCCCCCCCCCGCCCCCACUAGCCAGUCCCCCUCCCCUCUGAGGAUCCCAGCAUCUCCACCUACAACCCUGAGGGGCUGGGGCCAAGGCGGGCUCUCCACAUGCGGUCCAGGGAUCCGAGGCAGGGGAUUCUGUGAAAUCCCUGAAAUUGUAAGAAAAGUGUGUGUGUGUGUGUGUGCGCACGCGCGUGUGAAGGUCUCAGCCCUGCUCUCUGAAGGGCUUACUUUCUUGGAGAGGUCUCCUGGGAGCCCUUGCUCUAGAUGAACCACAAGGGCAUCCAGAGCUCCUGAAUUCUAGAAGCUUCCUCUAGAAGCUGGAGUGUGUGCACGUUCAAACAACCCAGAAGGCCCAUGUUGCCAAUGCAUCCAGUCUGCCAGUGAUGUGGGGAAAGACUGAGGAAGCCAAGGACAAAUGAAAGGCAGUACCUGCUGGUGCUGGAGGAGACGCAGCUCAGCCCCCAGGCGUCUGAGGCUGGGGGACCGUCACGUGGACGCCCUCCACUCCCGCCUGGAGCAGGGCCUCCGUAUUGACCUUCCACCGCCCCCGCGUUGAUGUGACGAGGGCGAGGGGCGGUGGGGCCCCGGCAACGCCACUGUGAGAGCUCAGUGACUCUGACUCCCUGGAAUCCGGGGUCCGGGAUGCUCACUCCCUGCAUGGGGAGCCCCACCCAGAGUCCAGGUGACCCCAACAGGGGGUGACUCAGAACACAGUGGGGCAGGUUUAGCCACUUCCAGAGGCCCAGAGGGCCUGGGUUCCAAAGAGCUUUCUGUGCAGGACACUGGCUGCACCUUCCAGGCUCAGUUUCCUCACAGUGGCCCUGCUUGCCCAUUGGGAGAGGGGCCUCUCAUGGGGCAAGGAAGGUGUUUCCCCUGGGUCUCAGCCUCGGCAUGCCUGUCACCAAAUCCUCCCCGGAGCACACGCAGCUUCCCGAGAACCCGCAGCUGUGGGCAGGCUGGGGGCAGCGUGCAGGCAGAAGCCGUAGUGCAAACAGGCGUGCGGAAGCAGCCAGCGUGUGCCGCAGAUGCCCACCCACCGGGAGCCACGUGUGAACGUGCUUACAGGGCACCUAGCUUCUUAGCAGAAGGCAGUGGUUUCCGGCUGGGAGGUCAGGAGCUCUCGGGGCAGGGUGGCCUGGGGACGGGCAGUCUUCUAAGCUCCCAGGUGACCCGUGCCGUCUGAGAACCGCUGCUUGAAGGGCUGAUGUCAGGGUGCCCGGUUGGAUCCGUCUGGAGAGGCUGGGUCGUGCAGCAGCGGCUGAUCCGUCCCGGGGUCGCUGCCGGGGCUUUGGCCACACUGCCUGUCCAGUGGCCACAGGGAUGGCGCCCCGCAGUCCCACCAGGCUCUUCUGUGUUUGGGGCUGGAAGUGGCCGGUGUCACUCCCCUGCGCCCCUGCAGAGCUGGUCACGCAGCCCCCCCUCCCCAUGGCCGGGCAGGGGCUGGGGUGUUGACCAGCAGCGCCUUCGAGUGCAGGCCCCCAUCACCCGCUCGGGGCCCCAGAGCUGUCAUUGUGGUCACUUUCUGGCUGCCACACAUUCCACUGAGGUUUCCCAAAAAUGGGUGUUUUUACUGUGGUCACUUUUGUGUCCAGCCUGUCAUCGCAGGACUUGCGCGGCCUGGCGGGGACACCGACAAGCGGCGGCCCGAGUCCCUCUUGCCGCUUUUGUUUCAUGACUGUCUUGGUUUUCUCCCCAGUGCAUUUGUUUUCCCCCAAAUUGCAAAUAAAAAAAUUGU